GGGGACUCGGCCGGCCUCGUUAGCACAGAAGAUCCUCAGUCAUAGUUAACAAAAUGGUAAAAUUAGCUGUGUUUUAAGAUUCCAGUCGUGGCCAUCAACUGCUCAGGAAAGCAGCCCAGAAUCACUUCACUACAGGUUUUCAAAGGAUCAUCAUUCAUCAGUACAGAAGGGUGGGGAAGAGAAGGCUGUUCAAAUUCUGAAAAGCCAGAGCUGCAAAGGAGGUCAAGAUGCAGUGCAGUUGGCCCACUCAGUAGAGUUUCACUAGUGGUCUGAUGUGGACUGGGGAUUACAUGCUGGAUUGAAGUGGUGGUCUGGAGCAGCUGUAAUUCAUCAUUCGUGCUGAUCGUGGACGAGUAUGAGCCCGCGUUGGCCCCGAUCGGCGAUCGCUGGCCAAAGCCCACCACCAGCACAGAAGAUCCUCAGUCAUAGUUAACAAAAUGGUAAAAUUAGCUGUGUUUUAAGAUUCCAGUCGUGGCCAUCAACUGCUCAGGAAAGCAGCCCAGAAUCACUUCACUACAGGUUUUCAAAGGAUCAUCAUUCAUCAGUACAGAAGGGUGGGGAAGAGAAGGCUGUUCAAAUUCUGAAAAGCCAGAGCUGCAAAGGAGGUCAAGAUGCAGUGCAGUUGGCCCACUCAGUAGAGUUUCACUAGUGGUCUGAUGUGGACUGGGGAUUACAUGCUGGAUUGAAGUGGUGGUCUGGAGCAGCUGUAAUUCAUCAUUCGUGCUGAUCGUGGACGAGUAUGAGCCCGCGUUGGCCCCGAUCGGCGAUCGCUGGCCAAAGCCCACCACCAGGUUGGUGAUAGGCGUUGGCUGUGAUAUCUUGGUGUCGCCUAUGUGUGAAAAGGACAAGUUGAUAACAAAACCUGUUGCGCCAUGUUAUUAACCCGCGCCCGGGUGGCCCUCAGCCAACUUGGUGGGGGGGGGGGGAGGGGAGGCGUAUUCGGCCACACCAGGUUAUCUUGGAAUGUAACAAAGUUGGAAAGACGCAGUAAAAUCAAUAUAUAGCUCGCUAUUUUCCUUCAGAAUCAUACAGGUCAUUUUCGAUCAGGUCAUUGCUGAGGUCACUGGAGGUCACCAAAAGUAAAAUGAUGACGAAUUUUGGCUUUAGAUUUUGACAACUUCACAAAUUGGUUCAUAACUCGGGAACCAAAGAAGCUACAGCGCCGCGGAAAAGCGAAUUCGAUAGCUCUUUCGAAAAUCUUUCAGGUUCUCAGAUUUGAGCUAAGGUCAACUAGGGUUAAGCCUCCAAAUGGCAAAAACUGAACAAUUGGCGUGCUUCGGAAAUCGUCUUAUCUUUUAAAACUUUUGAUACCAACCUUUUAUUACGUUGAUUUUACCGGCACUGCGUUUCUCUCGUCUUGUUGAACUAACAAGGUCAACUUAAUAAAUUUGACCUCAGGUCAAAGUCGCAGAAAAUGCCAUAUUGCAUGUCAGUCGAUUCGUUACAUUGAGAUUGUGAUUAACAUCAGUAGCGGCGGAACACCUUCAAUUAAGGGGGCAUUGCCGACUUUUGGUCCCAUUCUUCCCAUGCAACGCCCAUAGGGCUAAUCUUAAAAUGUCAAAAUCAAAGGGGGCACGGUAGCCCGGUGCCCUCCCCGUUCCGCCGCCUAUGAUAAUGAUGUUUUUAGCGCUCUGGCCACGUUCCAUCUAAAAUCAAUGCACAAAAAUAAACUGUUGGAGACGUUACAUGACCUGAGAUGACCUCAGGAGCAUACGAUAGAUCCCGACGUUUGAGUGUUUUUGUUUCAAAAGCAGAGCAUUUCGAGUUCCUCAUACUGACUGAAACUGGAGACGUUGCAAAGUUGACCUGACCCUUGGUCACCGAUAUCGAAAUUAAAGAUACUCAAGAUGUUGGUAGUUGGUACUGAUUCUCUCAUGCAAUAGCUCGA